UCUCUCUCUCUCUCCCUCCCGGAACCCUACGUAUCUUCCCCCUUUCGCCAGUCGCCAAACACGAAAACCCUAAUCAAAGGGUUCGAUGGCCGCCAGAUUUGGCCUGGCUGGAGGCAUUCCAGAGAGUUGGGUCCGGCCGAUACGGGACGCCGACGACUCCCGCGAGUCCAAGGCCGCGUUCAAGCUCGCUACCGGACUUUGUUGCCAAGUACCCCGCCUCGCCUUACGCCCUCGUACAAUACACGGGAAGGAAGAGGGAUGGAGUGGGGACUAACAGAGGAGGAAGGAGGUGAAGGGAGGGAUGA